ACAAUGAAGAGUUUGAUCCUGGCUCAGGAUGAACGCUAGCGGCAGGCUUAACACAUGCAAGUCGAGGGGCAGCGAGGGUAGCAAUACCUGUCGGCGACCGGCGCAAGGGUGCGUAACGCGUGAGCAACAUGCCCGUAUCAGGGGGAUAAUCCAGGGAAACUUGGUCUAAUACCCCAUAGUAAUAUUUUCAGGCAUCUGGGGAUAUUUAAAGCUUUGGUGGAUACGGAUUGGCUCGCGUGACAUUAGCUGGAUGGUAGGGUAACGGCCUACCAUGGCUACGAUGUCUAGGGGUUCUGAGAGGAAGAUCCCCCACACUGGAACUGAGACACGGUCCAGACUCCUACGGGAGGCAGCAGUGAGGAAUAUUGGACAAUGGAUGGAAAUCUGAUCCAGCCAUGCCGCGUGCAGGAAGACGGCCCUAUGGGUUGUAAACUGCUUUUAUACGGGAGCAAUAAGGUCUAUGCGUAGGCCGAUGAGAGUACCGUAGGAAUAAGCACCGGCUAACUCCGUGCCAGCAGCCGCGGUAAUACGGAGGGUGCAAGCGUUAUCCGGAUUUAUUGGGUUUAAAGGGUGCGUAGGCGGUCUAUUAAGUCAGCGGUGAAAGUUUUCAGCUUAACUGGAAAAAUGCCGUUGAUACUGAUAGGCUAGAAUAUGGUUGCUGUGGGUGGAAUGUGUGGUGUAGCGGUGAAAUGCUUAGAUAUCACACAGAAUAUCAAUUGCGAAGGCAGCUCACAAAGCCAUUAUUGACGCUGAGGCACGAAAGUGUGGGGAUCAAACAGGAUUAGAUACCCUGGUAGUCCACACCGUAAACGAUGAUAACUCGCUGUCGGCGAUAAACAGUCGGUAGCCAAGCGAAAGCGAUAAGUUAUCCACCUGGGGAGUACGACCGCAAGGUUGAAACUCAAAG
rnacentral:ncRNA from 1 species